AUUGAACGCUGGCGGCAGGCCUAACACAUGCAAGUCGAACGAGUGGCGGAGGGGAGAGAAAUGUCUGGGAAAGUGCCCGAUGGAGGGGGAUAAAUAGUGGAAACGGUAGCUAAUAGCGCAUACCAUCGGAUGUGCCCAGAUGGUAUUAGCUAGUAGUGGGGGUAACGGCUCACCUAGGCGAAGAUGCCUAGCUGGUCUGAGAGGAUGACCAGCCACCCUGGAACUGAGACACGGCCCAGACUCCUACGGGAGGCAGCAGUGGGGAAUAUUGCACAAUGGGCGCAAGCCUGAUGCAGCCAUGCCGCGUGUAUGAAGAAGGCCUUCGGGUUGUAAAGUACUUUCAGCGAGGAGGCGUUACUCGCAGAAGAAGCACCGGCUAACUCCGUGCCAGCAGCCGCGGUAAUUC
rnacentral:rRNA from 1 species